UGAAAAUUUAGUUGUUCACAAUCCUCUGCUUUUGAGGAUGUUCUUUCUGUGUUUCAGUUACUUCUCUAGGAUUUUCUUCCUAUAAACUAGUUUAUCUUCUGAUGCACAGAAAGGGACUAUAUUCGUGUGGUCUGUAAGAUCAGGGGAGGAAAUAGCUCUUGCAGGUUAUUUAAAACGUGCAUGAAGAUAUGCAGGCACGGCUUACACAGCCCUGGGCUUCAGCCCAAGAAUGUGCUGAUCAUGUCCACAACUACAACUGCAUAAAGACCCACAUUAAAACAGUAAUAACAGAGAAAUGAAGGGGAAAAAAGUCACAGAGACAAAGCAGAAAUGGUUCUUGAAUUAAAUCACUUUUAUCUGAGCUCAUUCGCUUAAGGAUGCAAUCAGCUCACUAUUUCAGCAGCUUGGGACC
rnacentral:lncRNA from 1 species